GGGGAAUAUUGCACAAUGGGGGAAACCCUGAUGCAGCGACGCCGCGUGAGUGAAGAAGUAUUUCGGUAUGUAAAGCUCUAUCAGCAGGGAAGAAAAUGACGGUACCUGACUAAGAAGCCCCGGCUAACUACGUGCCAGCAGCCGCGGUAAUACGUAGGGGGCAAGCGUUAUCCGGAUUUACCGGGUGUAAAGGGAGCGUAGGUGGUUCGGUAAGUCAGGUGUGAAAGCCCGGGGCUCAACCCCGGGAUUGCACUUGAAACUAUCGGACUUGAGUGCAGGAGAGGUAAGUGGAAUUCCUAGUGUAGCGGUGAAAUGCGUAGAUAUUAGGAGGAACACCAGUGGCGAAGGCGGCUUACUGGACUGUAACUGACACUGAGGCUCGAAAGCGUGGGGAGCAAAC
rnacentral:rRNA from 1 species